UACAGAGGUCUCAAGCGUUUGUUCGGAUUCAUUGGGCGUAAAGUGUGCGCAGGUGGCCGCGCAAGUCGAGUGUGAAAUCCCCGGGCUUAACUUGGGAAUUGCGCUCGAAACUACGUGGCUCGAGUAUGGCAGAGGAAGGUGGAAUUCCACGUGUAGCGGUGAAAUGCGUAGAGAUGUGGAGGAACACCGAUGGCGAAGGCAGCCUUCUGGGCCA
rnacentral:rRNA from 1 species